rnacentral:rRNA from 1 species
UGGGGAAUAUUGGACAAUGGGCGCAAGCCUGAUCCAGCCAUGCCGCGUGAGUGAUGAAGGCCCUAGGGUUGUAAAGCUCUUUCACCGGUGAAGAUAAUGACGGUAACCGGAGAAGAAGCUCCGGCUAACUUCGUGCCAGCAGCCGCGGUAAUACGAAGGGGGCUAGCGUUGUUCGGAUUUACUGGGCGUAAAGCGCACGUAGGCGGACUUUUAAGUCAGGGGUGAAAUCCCGGGGCUCAACCCCGGAACUGCCUUUGAUACUGGAAGUCUUGAGUAUGGUAGAGGUUAGUGGAAUUCCGAGUGUAGAGGUGAAAUUCGUAGAUAUUCGGAGGAACACCAGUGGCGAAGGCGGCUCACUGGACCAUUACUGACGCUGAGGUGCGAAAGCGUGGGGAGCAAACAGG